rnacentral:tRNA from 1 species
GCCUCGGUGGUGGAAUAGGUAGACACGUGGGACUUAAAAUCCCAUGCCCCUUAAAGGCGUGCCGGUUCGACCCCGGCCCGAGGUACCA